UGCCUAUACCUCCACUCAUGAUACUAUAAAUAACAAGAUAAUUAUGGCCCGAUUGUACAUUGGCGGCUUAAGCUAUGGCUUAGUUGAACCGGGUUCAAUUUUGAGCGUCGGUUUAACUUCAUUCGGGUUGUUCAAUGCCGAGUUCAGUUAAGCCGAGGUUCAUACAAAUUUUGGUAAGGUUGGCAACGUAAGGCAUGCGUAUUCAAAGCAAUUCCCGUCAAUUCUCGACAUAAAUUUUCCCGCCAUUUAUGUAUUAUUAUUUGGUUUUUGUCAAUAUAAUUCUUUUAUUACUGUUAUUAGUUUAAUCGGUAUUUUCUAUCGUUUAGUUUAUCAGUUUAAUCAAUUUCCUACGUUAAAUUUGUGAACAGACCAUUUGUUUUGAACCAAAAAACUGUUUUUAUAUAAGUGUUUUUUUCUACACUGGACGCAAAAAAGCCUUCCAAUUUCACUUCUCAAAAAGAAAUAUUGGUAUCUUUGGCCAAAUAAUAAAGCAGAAUUGUACAAAAUAGAAUGAAACAAAUAACCCCCAAAAUUUUAAAGAAGUUUAUCAAAGCCAUUGAUUGUAGCAGAUAGUAAGAAAUUUUUAUAAAUAUCUAAUAGUUGUUGUAUGUAUUAGUUUAAAUUUCUAAAUUAACAAAGUAUUCAUGCAUAAGAUUUUCAACCUCCUCCUACGUUUGACAAAUUGUACUUCUCAUGAUUCUCUAGACUAUAAACAGUUAGAUUUACUACAUUUUUGGCUAAUGUUAUUGCUACUUCUUCUUCUUUAUGUAGUAUAAGCAAAGGGUUAUUAAAAAGCAUUGCAAUAUUGUGUAUCAUUGAUGUUCCAAUUACAAUUGAAUGGGCCUUCCGAAUAAAAGUGCCAUGUGAUUCGUUUUUAAGAAAUCGAACAAAAACUGUUAAAAUUAUAAUAAUGGUAAAUUUAUACAUUUUAAGGAUUAGUAAUUAAUUACUUC
rnacentral:lncRNA from 1 species